GCUGGGCGUGGUGGCGCAUGCCUGUAAUCCCAGCUACUCUGGAGGCUGAGACAGGAGAAUCACUUGAACCCGGGAGGUGGAGUUUGUGGUGAGCUGAGAUCACGCCACUGCACUCCAGUCUGGGUAACAGAGUGAGACGCAGUCUCAA
ensembl:misc_RNA Metazoa_SRP Metazoan signal recognition particle RNA